rnacentral:rRNA from 1 species
GAGUUUGAUCCUGGCUCAGAGUGAACGCUGGCGGUAGGCCUAACACAUGCAAGUCGAACGGCAGCACAGUAAGAGCUUGCUCUUACGGGUGGCGAGUGGCGGACGGGUGAGGAAUACAUCGGAAUCCACUUUUUCGUGGGGGAUAACGUAGGGAAACUUACGCUAAUACCGCAUACGACCUACGGGUGAAAGCAGGGGAUCUUCGGACCUUGCGCGAUUGAAUGAGCCGAUGUCGGAUUAGCUAGUUGGCGGGGUAAAGGCCCACCAAGGCGACGAUCCGUAGCUGGUCUGAGAGGAUGAUCAGCCACACUGGAACUGAGACACGGUCCAGACUCCUACGGGAGGCAGCAGUGGGGAAUAUUGGACAAUGGGCGCAAGCCUGAUCCAGCCAUACCGCGUGGGUGAAGAAGGCCUCGG